AUUGAACGCUGGCGGCAGGCCUAACACAUGCAAGUCGAGCGAGUGGCGGACGGGUGAGUAAUGUCUGGGGAACUGCCUGAUGGAGGGGGAUAACUACUGGAAACGGUAGCUAAUACCGCAUACCAUCAGAUGAUCCCAGAUGGGAUUAGCUUGUUGGUGGGGUAACGGCUCACCUAGGCGACGAUCCCUAGCUGGUCUGAGAGGAUGACCAGCCACACUGGGACUGAGACACGGUCCAGAGUCCUACGGGAGGCAGCAGUGGGGAAUAUUGCACAAUGGGCGCAAGCCUGAUGCAGCCAUGCCGCGUGUAUGAAGAAGGCCUUCGGGUUGUAAAGUACUUUCAGCGGGGAGGCGUUACCUACAGAAGAAGCACCGGCUAACUCCGUGCCAGCAGCCGCGGUAAUAC
rnacentral:rRNA from 1 species